rnacentral:rRNA from 1 species
UACGGGGGGGGCAAGCGUUGUUCGGAAUUACUGGGCGUAAAGGGCUCGUAGGCGGCCAACUAAGUCAGACGUGAAAUCCCUCGGCUUAACCGGGGAACUGCGUCUGAUACUGGAUGGCUUGAGUUCGGGAGAGGGAUGCGGAAUUCCAGGUGUAGCGGUGAAAUGCGUAGAUAUCUGGAGGAACACCGGUGGCGAAGGCGGCAUCCUGGACCGACACUGACGCUGAGGAGCGAAAGCCAGGGAGCAAACGGG